UACAGAGGGUGCGAGCGUUGUCCGGAAUACUGGGCGUAAAGCGUGCGCAGGCGGUUUUGUAAGCCAGAUGUGAAAUCCCCGGGCUUAACCUGGGAAUGGCAUUUGGGACUGCAAGGCUUGAGUGCGGCAGAGGAGACUGGAAUUCCUGGUGUAGCAGUGAAAUGCGUAGAUAUCAGGAGGAACACCGAUGGCGAAGGCAGGUCUCUGGGCUGACACUGACGCUCAUGCACGAAAGCGUGGGGAGCAAACAGG
rnacentral:rRNA from 1 species